rnacentral:lncRNA from 1 species
ACAGAUAUGCAGUCCAUAGUGCUGCUCCUUAUCAACUUGUAGUUAGUAAGGACAAAGUAUAUCAACGUUACCAGACCACAUCUCUGGAUUAUUCACAGAGUCUGCUAUUUCUGUUUGUACUACCAGACCUGAGAAUAUUUAUGGUCCCAUUCCUGCUGACUUCUGCUUUGGGUCAAUUGUGUGAGUAUACCAGCACCAAGCUUCUCAGUGUUUACUCACCCUCUGUUGCCUCAUCUGACUGAGCGUCCCUAAUUGUACAGCGAAGGUACAGGCUUGGAAGGCAUGAAAAUGUUGGCAUAUAGAGAAGUGUCAAAUACCUAGGGGUGAUAAGAGUGCUGCGUUUAGAAGACAAAUGAUAGGAGAUAAAUUGGUCCUGGAGGUUGGGGCUUCUUACAGAAUUGGGGGCCUCUGAAUCUAAAACUUGUGCUCUUAACUGUUCUCCAUUAUUUCCCCCAGCUGGCCUAUUAAACAUCAUCUAUAAAAAAAUCUAUAAUCUAGUUUAGAAACUAGCUUACUCAAAGACACAGAAGUUUGCUCU